UACGUAGGGCGCAAGCGUUGUCCGGAAUUAUUGGGCGUAAAGAGCUCGUAGGCGGCUUGUCACGUCGGAUGUGAAAGCCCGGGACUCAACUCCGGGCCUGCAUUCGAUACGGGCAGACUAGAGUUCGGUAGGGGAGACUGGAAUUCCUGGUGUAGCGGUGAAAUGCGCAGAUAUCAGGAGGAACACCUGUGGUGUAGACAGCUUACUGGACCACUUCUGACGCUGAGACACGAAAGCGUGGGUAGCAAACAGG
rnacentral:rRNA from 1 species